rnacentral:pre_miRNA from 1 species
AGAAGAAUCACCUAGAGAUCUUAUUAAAAUGCAAAUUCUGAUUCAAUAGGUCUGAAGGGGGACCUGAAAUUCUAAAUUCUAAUAAGCUCCCAAGUGAUGCUGAU